rnacentral:lncRNA from 1 species
UGAGAGGCAACUUUUAAUUUGAAGGAAGUUCAGCUUGCGAAGGAGGUGCCGCCGAGAUCCUCUGGUCCGGGAGUUGCUCUGCUGAAGCAGCAGAGGGAUUGUAAAACGUUUCAGCUUGCAGAGGCCUUGCUGCUGUCUCCCUCUUCUCUUGCCAUAAGCGUCGUGUCUGGCUGGCAGCUGGGAAGAGGAAAAGUUGGCUGCUGUUAUCUGCCACCUGAUUUCCAUGAAAAGAAGAAUGCCAACACGAAUAUGAAGUGAACCAUUUCCUAUAUUUGCCACAGCGCCUGGAUGCUCAUAUCGGAUGGUUAGAGACAGAGACUUGCCUCUCACCAGACUGCUUCCUCAGACAAGAUGAAGCCAAGGAGGAGCUUUCCGACACACUGGAGUCGCAGUGACUGCUGCCCAGUUUAAAAUUGAUGUCAGACUG